UACGGAGGGUGCAAGCGUUAAUCGGAAUUACUGGGCGUAAAGCGUGCGCAGGCGGUUUGUUAAGUCCGUUGUGAAAGCCCCGAGCUCAACUUGGGAAUUGCAGUGGAUACUGGCAGGCUGGAGUACGGUAGAGGAAGGUGGAAUUCCCGGUGUAGCAGUGAAAUGCGCAGAUAUCGGGAGGAACACCGGUGGCGAAGGCGGUUCUCUGGGCCUGUGCUGACGCUGAGGAGCGAAAGCGUGGGGAGCGAACAGG
rnacentral:rRNA from 1 species